GAUACGCAUACCGAAUUCGCCAUGCAGACAUUAGCAUUACUCCCGUAAUAAGGCUCGGUUCAGACGGCGACAUUUUCAAGCGCUUCAUUUCUUACAGCACAACCGCACAAGUUCGGCAACUGAUUUAGAGUUUAGACGCCGCUCUUCUAGAUCUGUCGUACUUAUAUAUCGUUGUAUUACGGGUUCGGCGCAUGAGAAAGUUCGCCGUCUAAACCGAGUCUAAGGCUGUCUGCAUGGCGAAUUCGGUAUG